rnacentral:rRNA from 1 species
GACGAAGGGGGCUAGCGUUGUUCGGAAUUACUGGGCGUAAAGCGCGUGUAGGCGGUUGCCCAAGUCGGGUGUGAAAGCCUUGAGCUCAACUCAAGAAAUGCACUCGGUACUGGGUGACUAGAGGACCGGAGAGGAUAGUGGAAUUCCCAGUGUAGUGGUGAAAUACGUAGAGAUUGGGAAGAACACCAGUGGCGAAGGCGACUACCUGGCCUGUUCUUGACGCUGUAGGCGCGAAAGCUAGGGGAGCAAACAGG